UGUCAUUAUUUCUUGGCAUUGCUCAAUAAUGAAUUACUGGAUCAUAUAGUGACUGAAACCAACGCAUAUCAUGCCCGGUAUGCUGAAACAUCUGAUGUAACCCCUCGCUCGCACGAGAAAGAAUGGCUACACAUUACGAGAGAUGAACUUUUGACGUUCAUAGCUGUGACUAUGCUAAUGCCUCAUUCUAAAAAGGCUGUUAGACAUGAUUACUGGAGCAAGGCUGAGAUGUUAUACAUGCCAUUUUUUGCAAGACAAAUCACAAGAGACAGUUACAGUAAUAUUCUAAGAUUUCUUCACUUUUCUAGUGAAGAAACUGCUGAUCCACUUUGGAAAAUAAGACCAGUGCUGCAAAGUCUUACAGAUAAAUUCAAGUCUUACUUCAACCCAUUUCAGAAUCUUGUUAUAGAUGAAUCACUGAUGCUAUUCAAGGGAAGAUUAGCUUUCAAACAAUAUAUACCAUCAAAGCGACAUCGCUUUGGAAUCAAAUUGUAUGUGCUAUGUGAUUGCAAAACCGGAAUUGUGCUGGAUUUUUGCAUCCAUUCUGGCAGUGACAUUGAUGAUUGACUAAAAACAAUCCUAGUGGAUUCUCUGGCUCAGUAGUAGAUGUACUCCUGAAAGAUUACCUGGGAAAAGGCCAUGUAUUGUAUACUGAUAAUUGGUAUACGAGUCCUCAGCUGGCAAGGUAUUUACAUGAUAAUAAUACUGGUGCAGUGGGCACUGUCAGAUCAAAGAGAAAAUAUAUGCCAAACUUUGGAGUAACAAAAAAAGGUGAUGUAAUCAGAUUCAAGACACAUGAUAUGAUAGUAAUGAAAUGGCACGAUAAAAGAGCAGUGCAUCUUCUUUCUACUAUCCACACUGGCCAGAUGAAAGAUACCCAGCGGGUUCACAGGAGAACAAAUGAGCCUAUCUUCAAACCUGAUAUUGUCGCUGAUUAUAACAUCAACAUGAGACUCGUUGAUAAAGCUGAUAUGCAGCUAGGUACAGUGGACAGCCUAAGAAUAAGUGUCAAGUGGUAUAGGAAAGUAUUUUUCCACAUGAUAGAUAUUUGCAUGUUGAAUGCAUGCAACAUUUACAUGACCAAAACAGGCAACAAGUCAUCUCUAAGAGUAUUCAGUAUGAAAGUCAUAAAACAAAUGCUGGAAAGAUUUCCAACACAAGUGCCUACACAUUCACGUCCAGAUAGACAGAGCCGUGCAGCUCAGGAAGGACUGGCAAGCUGUAGGACUGGAAACUCAUUUCCCUGUACAUGUUCCUCCAGCACCAGGAAGGCCACAUAAGAAGGGACAGAGGGAAUGUAUAGUUUGCAAAACAACGCAGAGGAGAGAACAGAAACGCAAGCUAGUGACAACAAUGUGUGAAGGGCGUGGUGUAGGGUUGUGCCUAGGCGAAUGUUUCAAGAAAUAUCACACCCUCAAGACAUACUAAUAAGUGGGAAAGAGAACUGUUUAGAUAUAGUGAUACAUGUAUAAGGAGCAACAUAUGGCAAGAUGACCUAGUACGGAGCUCUACAUUCUACCAAUAGCAAGAUAAAUAUAACUUUACGUUAUACUAACAAAAUAAGUAUUACUUGUAAGAUUCACUGAAUACUGAUUUUACACAAAAUAUGACUGGGUAAAUGUUUGGAUGUAAGGUUGGGCAGCUGUGUGCCUACAUUAUCUUCUUUCCUUGUCACAGGGGCAGCAAGGGAGAGGGAGGCCUGUCUCCUUCAAGCAAACAGUACGUGGUGUAUCGGCAAGAUGAUCUAGUACAGAGUCCUACAUAGGAAUUCUACAGAGCUACCAGUUGCAAGGGAGCGCAGGGAGUGGGGAGAGAGGACUCUAUCCUUCAGGCAGAUGUUGGUGUAUCUUUUAUUGCCAUCAAACAGAUCAUCUUCCAUUAUUUCACAAGAGUUUGCAGAUGCAGCUUUCUUGCACCCACUUGAUGGCUCCUCGGAUUCCUCCCUUCACUCCCUCCGACCUUUACUACCCUGUGGGCCAGCACGUGUCAUCGCACUAGUGUUGCCAGAGUUUGUUUUGUUCUGCUCCAGUUCAUUCCCGUAUACAAGUUUUUAUUCUCUUUCUUUUCAGUUGUAAUAGAGCUUACUGUUAGACUAGGAUUACGGAAAUAAAGUAAUAAUUUAGACAACUCUUACCAUUUACUCCUCCGGGGUACCAGGGACCUCACAAAUAUAUUCCUCCUCGGACUCCUCGAAAGAGGUUAGGAACUGUUCCUCCAUAUAAUUUACAAAGCUAGAAACAGAAGAAGGAGAAGAAGAAAUAACGGAAGGGGGAGAUACUACAAGAGAAGAAGGUGGAGACAGAUCG